GAACGAUAACGGCGUCGAGCGGCGGACGGGUGAGUAAUGCCUAGGAAAUUGCCCUGAUGUGGGGGAUAACCAUUGGAAACGAUGGCUAAUACCGCAUGAUGCCUACGGGCCAAAGAGGGGGACCUUCGGGCCUCUCGCGUCAGGAUAUGCCUAGGUGGGAUUAGCUAGUUGGUGAGGUAAGGGCUCACCAAGGCGACGAUCCCUAGCUGGUCUGAGAGGAUGAUCAGCCACACUGGAACUGAGACACGGUCCAGACUCCUACGGGAGGCAGCAGUGGGGAAUAUUGCACAAUGGGCGCAAGCCUGAUGCAGCCAUGCCGCGUGUGUGAAGAAGGCCUUCGGGUUGUAAAGCACUUUCAGUCGUGAGGAAGGUAGUGUAGUUAAUAGCUGCAUUAUUUGACGUUAGCGACAGAAGAAGCACCGGCUAACUCCGUGCCAGCAGCCGCGGUAAUACGGAGGGUGCGAGCGUUAAUCGGAAUUACUGGGCGUAAAGCGCAUGCAGGUGGUUUGUUAAGUCAGAUGUGAAAGCCCGGGGCUCAACCUCGGAAUUGCAUUUGAAACUGGCAGACUAGAGUACUGUAGAGGGGGGUAGAAUUUCAGGUGUAGCGGUGAAAUGCGUAGAGAUCUGAAGGAAUACCGGUGGCGAAGGCGGCCCCCUGGACAGAUACUGACACUCAGAUGCGAAAGCGUGGGGAGCAAACAGGAUUAGAUACCCUGGUAGUCCACGCCGUAAACGAUGUCUACUUGGAGGUUGUGGCCUUGAGCCGUGGCUUUCGGAGCUAACGCGUUAAGUAGACCGCCUGGGGAGUACGGUCGCAAGAUUAAAACUCAAAUGAAUUGACGGGGGCCCGCACAAGCGGUGGAGCAUGUGGUUUAAUUCGAUGCAACGCGAAGAA
rnacentral:rRNA from 1 species